rnacentral:rRNA from 1 species
AUGAACGCUGGCGGCGUGCCUAAUACAUGCAAGUCGCGCGAACAGAUAAGGAGCUUGCUCCUUUGACGUUAGCGGCGGACGGGUGAGUAACACGUGGGUAACGUACCUAUAAGACUGGGAUAACUUCGGGAAACCGGAGCUAAUACCGGAUAACAUUUGGAACCGCAUGGUUCUAAAGUGAAAGAUGGUUUUGCUAUCACUUAUAGAUGGACCCGCGCCGUAUUAGCUAGUUGGUAAGGUAACGGCUUACCAAGGCGACGAUACGUAGCCGACCUGAGAGGGUGAUCGGCCACACUGGAACUGAGACACGGUCCAGACUCCUACGGGAGGCAGCAGUAGGGAAUCUUCCGCAAUGGGCGAAAGCCUGACGGAGCAACGCCGCGUGAGUGAUGAAGGGUUUCGGCUCGUAAAACUCUGUUAUUAGGGAAGAACAAAUGUGUAAGUAACUGUGCACGUCUUGACGGUACCUAAUCAGAAAGCCACGGCUAACUACGUG